rnacentral:rRNA from 1 species
UGGGGGGAUAUUGCACAAUGGGGGAAACCCUGAUGCAGCGACGCCGCGUGGGUGAAGAAGUAUUUCGGUAUGUAAAGCCCUAUCAGCAGGGAAGAAAGAAGACGGUACCUGACUAAGAAGCCCCGGCUAACUACGUGCC